AAAGGGGAACUGAAGUGAAAAAUGAAAAUCAUUUAAUUAGUAGUUUUCAUCGUGCUGAUUUCGAAUAUCGACACGAAAUUAGUGUUUUACUUUUCGUUUUCCUGCAUUUAACGCGCAAAGUGUGAAAUUUCUCCAUUUCCGUGGCGGAGAGGUCUGGAGACAAGUUUCAGGCGCUGACGUAAAGUCGUGGACACGUGCCCCGAACCUAACGAAAACAACAGUGUAGUAGAGUGAAUCGGAGGGAGGGAAUUUGGUUAGUAGGUAAAAUUUCAGAUCGCAAUUUUCACGACAGCUCUUCAGGAAUGACAACAGACUUAAGAUCGAGCGACGAUGAAGUGUUUGGAGCAUGUGGUGGUGAAGUACUUGCCCUACCAAGGGCGAACGGGACCUGCGAAAGUGGCGAUGAAGAUUAGCCUAGGCCCGAUGAGAUCCCAGAGGAUGAGGAUGAAUUAUCUCCCGCGACGUGCUCGUUUUGUUGGUAGAAAUGAGGAAGUAAAUAAAUGGUAUCUACAAACAGUGGCCGAUCAAUGUAUGGUUUGCUCGUUUUUGGGUAUUUGUGCUGGAAUAACUGGACAACUUUAAGUAUGCAUUUAUCACAAAUGUAAAGAAAAGAACUUUAGUCAAAGAAGACAAGAGUUUCAAAAUUCUGCAGAGAGACAAUGAAAAUGCAAAAAUCAGCUACCUACUACAUAUACAGUGGAGAACAUGGUUAUAUACACGGGGUUAUUCAAAAGGAUCAGACUUUUAGUUCAUAAUAGCAAGAAGAGAAAUUUGUUGAAACUAGUGGGACAAUGGCCAAAUCUUGUCAGCCCUAGGCCAAAUCACUAGAUUAGUCACAUCAAGGGGGGGGGGAUUGAGCAAGGCUUGAUAUUUUUAAGAUUCCUAAGGUGUACUUUUCAACAUAGUUCACUCACAUCAAAAUGUGUAGAAUAGUUUGGAUUUGAUCAAGAUUUUCUCUUACAAUAAUGGUCCUGUACCACCUUCUUGGUAACAUUUUUUAUAAAUAAUCAGAGGAAAAUGUUUUACCUUCAGGGUACAAUGUUCUGUUAAUGUAUUCUGUCACUGCCUGUUGUUUAGAUACACUGUUUUUAAAUUUUGAGAAUGAAGUUUUUUUGUGCCCAA